UCUACGCCUAUAGCGUCUACAUGAACGC
rnacentral:sRNA from 1 species